rnacentral:lncRNA from 1 species
CAAGUUCACAACCACCUGAAGAUCCUGAACAUUCAUAAUUCUAUGGGUCUCAUGAGAUGCAACCCAGAGUCCUGAGGGAGCUGACUGAUGUAGUCACCAGGCCACUCUCGAUGAUAUUUGAAAAGUUAUGGCAGUAAAGUCUCCGGUGACUGGAAAGAAGUGUCACUUCGAUAUCCUGAAGCAUAGCUUUGCAUGAGAAAGUGUGAUCAUAAUCUUUUUUAUGCACAUCUGAAGCCAAUCAGAAAUCAGAUGUUGGAAAUGUAUGGAAGUGUUGACUAUUAGGACAAAAAUAUUGAAAGGUCACAGGCUCAUGAAAAUGAAAAAAAAAAGGACUGCACCAGAAAUCUUCAAACAAGAUCAGCAUACUGAAACUAAGAGCACGAUCAAAAACGUGUGGAACAUGACAACAACCCACAAAAGCCUUUGUACCACAAGCCCCAAUUCUCACAGGGACCUGUUACCUCCCUGCCAGCUCCUGGAGGGGUAACAAGGAGGAACCCAAGUUCACUGGCUAUAGCUGGAAAGGUGCCAGCAGGUGGGGAUCUACAGGAGAGCCUCUUUAUCUCCAUGC